ensembl:rRNA 5S_rRNA 5S ribosomal RNA
AUCUACGUCCAUACCACUCUGAAAGCUCCCAAUCUCGUCUGAUCUCGGAAACUAAGCAGGGUCGGGCGUGGACUUGGAUGCGAGACCGCCUGGGAAUCCUGGGUGUUGUAUGCU